AACAAACGCUGGCGGCGUGUCUUAAGCAUGCAAGUUGAGCGGCAAGGAGGAGAGAUCCUCCCUAGAGCGGCGGACUGGUGAGUAACGCGUGGGUAAUCUAUCGUAGGCAUGGGGAUAGUCACUAGAAAUAGUGGGUAAUACCGAAUACGUUCCAUGAGGGGAGUAUUCAUGGAAGAAAGGGUGCUACGGCACUGGCCUUAGGUGAGCUCGCGUCCCAUUAGCUAGUUGGUGAGGCAACGGCUCACCAAGGCGACGACGGGUAGCCGGCCUGAGAGGGUGUCCGGCCACACUGGAACUGAGACACGGUCCAGACUCCUACGGGAGGCAGCAGUAGGGAAUAUUGGACAAUGGGCGCAAGCCUGAUCCAGCCAUGCCGCGUGAGUGAAGAAGGCCCUCGGGUUGUAAAGCUCUUUUGUCCGGAAAGAAAAGCGCCGGGUUAAUACCCUGGUGUCCUGACGGUACCGGAAGAAUAAGCACCGGCUAACUUCGUGCCAGCAGCCGAC
rnacentral:rRNA from 1 species